rnacentral:rRNA from 1 species
AUUGAACGCUGGCGGCAGGCCUAACACAUGCAAGUCGAACGGUAACAGGAAGAAGCUUGCUUCUUUGCUGACGAGUGGCGGACGGGUGAGUAAUGUCUGGGAAACUGCCUGAUGGAGGGGGAUAACUACUGGAAACGGUAGCUAAUACCGCAUAACGUCGCAAGACCAAAAAGGGGGACCUUCGGGCCUCUUGCCCUCGGAUGUGCCCAGAUGGGAUUAGCUAGUAGGUGGGGUAACGGCUCACCUAGGCGACGAUCCCUAGCUGGUCUGAGAGGAUGACCAGCCACACUGGAACUGAGACACGGUCCAGACUCCUACGGGAGGCAGCAGUGGGGAAUAUUGCACAAUGGGCGCAAGCCUGAUGCAGCCAUGCCGCGUGUAUGAAGAAGGCCUUCGGGUUGUAAAGUACUUUCAGCGGGGAGGAAGGGAGUAAAGUUAAUACCUUUGCUCAUUGACGUUACCCGCAGAAGAAGCACCGGCUAACUCCGUG